UCUCUGCGAAUGGCUCAUUACAACAGUUAUAGUUUAUUUGAUACAACAAAUGGAUAACUGUAGAAAAACUAGAGCUAAUACAUGCUUUAACCGCAAGGUUGUAUUUAUUAGAUAUUCCAGAUUGGUGAAUCAUAAUAACUUCGCAAAUCUCGUUUUAUGACGAGAUAAACCAUCCAAGUUUCUGCCCUAUCAUGCUUUCGAUGGUAGUGUAUUGGACUACCAUGGCUUUCACGGGUAACAGGGAAUUAGGGUUCGAUUCUGGAGAAGGAGCCUGAGAAACGGCUACUACAUCUACGGAAGGCAGCAGGCGCGUAAAUUACCCAAUCCUGACUCAGGGAGGUGGUGACAAGAUAUAACAACACCAUUAAAAUGGUGAUUGUAGUGAGGGUAUUCUAAACCGAACCACUAGUACGAUUAGAGGGCAAGUCUGGUGCCAGCAGCCGCGGUAAUUCCAGCACUAAUAGCGUAUAUUAAAGUUGCUGCAGUUAAAAAGCUCGUAGUUGGAUUUCAAGGACAGUAAACCCCUCUCGGGGAUACUUCCUACUAGUCUUUGACUGUUACUGUGAGAAAAUUAGAGUGUUUCAAGCAGGCUUUUGCAAGAAUACAUUAGCAUGGAAUAACGAAUGUAUAUAGAAUCUUGGUUAAUUCUGUAUUACGAUUAAUAGAGACAGUUGGGGGCAUUAGUAUUUAAUUGUCAGAGGUGAAAUUCUUGGAUUUGUUAAAGACUAACGUAUGCGAAAGCAUUUGCCAAGGAUGUUUUCAUUUAUCAAGGACGAAAGAUAGGGGAUCAAAGACAAUCAGAUACUGUCCGG
rnacentral:rRNA from 1 species